rnacentral:rRNA from 1 species
CCUAUGGGUGGCAGCAGUGAGGAAUAUUGGUCAAUGGGCGCGACCCUGAACCAGCCAAGUAGCGUGAAGGAUGACUGCCCUACGGGUUGUAAACCUCUUUUAUAAAGGAAUAAAGUGAGGCACGUGUGCCUUUUUGUAUGUACUUGAUGAAUAAGGAUAGGCUAACUCCGUGCCAGCAGCCGCGGUAAUACGGAGGAUCCGAGCGUUAUCCGGAUUGAUUGGGUUUAAAGGGAGCGUAGAUGGGUUGUUAAGUCAGUUGUGAAAGUUUGCGGCUCAACCGUAAAAUUGCAAUUGAUACUGGCAGUCUUGAGUACAGUUGAGGUAGGCGGAAUUCGUGGGGUAGCGGUGAAAUGCGUAGAUAUCACGAAGAACUCCGAUUGCGAAGGCAGCUUACUAAACUGCCACUGACAUUGAUGCUCGAAAGUGUGGGUAUCAAACAGGAUUAGAUACCCGAGUAGUC